AAGCUGGAGAAGUUGCUGUGCUUGAACAGAGUUGGUAGAAGAUCACGGGCAAACUCCGCCGGUUGCCACACCACGAACCCUGUUCCGUCGCCGUUCCAAGAAAUCACGUGAUCAGUCGCCGGAUCCUCCACCAGCAUGUAGGUUUUGAGCAAGAAUGGUGGCGGAGUUGACUUCCGUACAUAUUCCAAGAAACCCUUAUUAUUGUUAUUGUUAUCUAUAGCUGUAGACUCCAUAAGAAAACUUUGCAAGAAAAUAAAAGAAAAGAAACUAAAAGAAACUAAAAGAAAAGAAAAGAAACAGAAAGAGAGAGAAUUAAGGGGAGGCAGAGAAGAGAAGAAGGGCAGUUAAGAACUCCCAACCCCAGCAAUAGAAACCCAACACGACUCCACAGUUCAUGAGAAAUGCAAGGGCUUUUCUUUUCUCUCUUCUCUCCUCUCUCUUUUACAG
rnacentral:misc_RNA from 1 species